GAUAAACAUACCAGUCGCAACUUCAGUAACGGCUCUAGAAGUUUGGUUCUUAGCUUGCAUAUUCAUCGUAUUUCUCUCUCUUGCUGAGUAUGCGAUUAUUCUUAGAGAAUCUGUGAGGCGAAAGAGAAAGAAAAAUAGAAAGCUGUCCUACUCCCUCUGCCAUGAAAACCACUUUGCAACCUCAAACUUCAUUCAGGUG